AUUGAACGCUGGCGGCGUGCUUAACACAUGCAAGUCGAUCGGUAACAGGUGUAGCAAUACAUGCUGACGAGAGGCGGACGGGUGAGGAAUGUUUGGGAAUCUGCCCAUCAGCGGGGGACAACCCGGGGAAACCCGGGCUAAUACCGCAUACGCUCUACGGAGGAAAGCCGGGGACCGCAAGGCCUGGCACUGAUGGAUGAGCCCAAAUCGGAUUAGCUAGUUGGCGGGGUAACGGCCCACCAAGGCUACGAUCCGUAGCUGGUCUGAGAGGACGAUCAGCCACACCGGAACUGAGACACGGUCCGGACUCCUACGGGAGGCAGCAGUGGGAAUAUUGGACAAUGGGCGAAAGCCUGAUCCAGCGACGCCGCGUGGGUGAAGAAGGCCUGCGGGUUGUAAAGCCCUUUCGGUAGGGACGAAAACCUUCGACUUAACACGUCGAGGGAUUGACUUAACCUACAUAAGAAGCACCGGCUAACUCUGUGCCAGCAGCCGCCGUAAGAC
rnacentral:rRNA from 1 species